rnacentral:lncRNA from 1 species
UUGCUGUCUGUCAGCACUAUCUCUCUUGGAUUGACACUUACCCUGCUCAUUAUCCAAGAGAAUGUAAUAACACCGAAGCUGAUAAUGCAUUUAUUACAUGUAAAAUAGGAGUGGAAGAGGUGAUGUCCAGCUACCUGAAGAAUUGUACUGUUCAAUUAGAAUUAGAGGAACAUACUAAGAGAUACAAUGAGUUCCUGUUCAAUCCAUUUUUGUUGCCUUGCCUAUCAUGCCUUCAUUGAACCGAAAAAAUGGACUACAACAAAAAAGAUAAGUUUCUAUUUAGGCAUUUCUGCAAAACAACAGACACACAAUCAUCACAAAUACCAUGAAAACUACUUGAUCUUGGACUUCUGAAGAUGCGUCUGGCAUGCGCAGCUCAACUUUGCCAUCGGCCAAGUGGCACCCCCGACGACAAAGCUCAUGCAUAGCCUGGUCUUGAAGCUGCUCCCAAGACACAUUGGCUUCCUGAGCUCCCCUCAGCGCCUAGGUCCAGUUGUUCAUCUUUUUUCGUAAAUAGCCUGAUCAUGUCCAUGGUGGGGAAGUGAUGGAGAAAACGACAGUCAUCGCCGAAGUGGUAGUCGCUGGUGCGGCGCAUUGACAAAGAAAUAAAUCCAGAGAAAAUUAUCCAACUGUUGCAAAGUUAGUGCAGGUAGCAAAGUUUUGUUGUAGAUACAAAAGGUUGUUGUUCACAACAUGCCAUCCUUGCAGAAAAAGAUUUGCAUUCCGAAUGGAACAACUUGAUAUGCAUGACUGCAGAAAAUUAACCUGAAAAACCUGGUGCAUAUCUUCUUCGAUUUGUUAAAUGCCAACAAAGUAACUGGUUACAUGCUCCCAUCUACUUUCAAAUGCAGAAAAUGUUUUGAGACAUCAGUGCAUGAUUCUGGUUGUUCCCAUCGACUGUUGGUGUGGAAGCUUAUGCACCUUUCAAAUAUCAAUGUCUCUGUAUCACUGGUGAGGAAAAAUAAUAAUGAAAUAUUUGAGUUAACGAACUGAAAUGAAAAAUAAUACUAGUAAUCUAUAUUCUAUAAUACAUUUGCUACUUCAGUCUAUGUGCAACCCCAUAAUGGUCGGCCAGGGCAGAAUUUGUAUCGAACUGAUCAACAAAGACUUAUAUAAGGGACAGUUCUUAUAUAACAAAUUGUGUAAUAGCAUAGUGAUGCAUAUAACAAUAAGAAAUUUCAUUACACAGAAUUAAUUUCAAUGACAGCCAGUAACAAGCAUACUUAACAUAGUUACCACCAUUACAUAUGAAGCUACCAAUUAAGUUCUAACAGUACUAAUAUUAUGUGAAACAGGCUUGAGGUACCAGGGAGCCACCCUGACAUGGUUGACGCCUUGCGGCCGUUCCCGGCUCAGUAAACAGCUCUGAACAUAUUAAUUACCGAGCCAAAGUACAUGGCGACUAUAAUACAAGCACGGUAAGCAUGAGAUUGGCAGCUGCAAGCAGCAGAGCGACAACUACAAGCAUUUGGGAACGGGAUGCAACGGUGGCUUGAGGACUUGAUUGACCAGCACGGUCUGCAUCGGUGGCAAAGACUGGAUAUGCGCCUGGAUGGGAGGGGGACUAUCUGCACACGGGGUUGGUUGGCAUGAUGGACCAUCUACAGGGCUUGGUGAUGUCGACUUGCUCCUAAGCACGGGCAAGCCGAAGCGUAUUCGUGUGGAUCUGCGAACUCAGCUCUGAAACAAGAACAAGAACAAGAAAUUUCAGAUCUGCUUACAUCGUAUUUUCUACACUUGUAGAACCGAUGACCCGCCUUGUCUCCCGUCCUUGCGACGUUCGUCGCGUCGCGAUCUCGUCGCCGCAAAAAGGAUACGGGUUGAGAGGGAGCAGGAAGUCAGCUGGGACGGUCAGAGAGAAGGAAGACGCCACAGACAUGGCGGCAAACGAACAAGGUGGGAGGGAGCGGCGGCGAUGGGGAUUUCUAUGGGGCUGUGUUGAUUGUGAGGGGGGGCACGGGUGGGGAUGCAAUUAUCGAGGGCUGGGGCAGGUGGCCGUCACGGAUACCGGGUCACAGGCACGGCUCAGGGAGGACCAGGAAAAUGCCCGAGCCGGCGAGAACC